rnacentral:rRNA from 1 species
CCUACGGGUGACAGCAGUGAGGAAUAUUGGUCAAUGGACGUAAGCCUGAACCAGCCAAGUCGCGUGCGGGAUGACGGUUCUAUGGAUCGUAAACCUCUUUUAUACGGGAAUAAAGUGUGAGACGCGUCCUAUUUUGUAUGUACCUUAUGAAUAAGGAUCGGCUAACUCCGUGCCAGCAGCCGCGGUAAUACGGAGGAUCCGAGCGUUAUCCGGAUUUAUUGGGUUUAAAGGGUGCGUAGGUGGCCCUUUAAGUCAGAGGUGAAAGUCCGUGGCUCAACCAUGGAAUUGCCGUUGAAACUGGUGGGCUUGAGUAUGGUUGCGGCAGGCGGAAUGUGUGGUGUAGCGGUGAAAUGCUUAGAGAUCACGCAGAACCCCGAUUGCGAAGGCAGCCUGCCAAGCUAUGACUGACGCUGAGGCACGAAAGCGUGGGGAUCAAACAGGAUUAGAUACCCCAGUAGUC